CUUGAAAUUAUUCUAAGGUGAAGGUGUUAGGCACCCCUCAAAAUCCACUAGUGUGGUUUCCGACUAGACUAUUAUUGUGAGUUUAGGUACAAAUAACAUAUAGAAAAAUAAGGCUCAAACAAUAGGGGAUUUCACAUAUAAAGGCUGAAAGUAGAUGAAGCUAGAAAGAGCAAUUUAGGGAAGCUGGUUUUAGGAAAAAUAUCACAGAAAAGAAAUAAGAAUAAAAGGAAGGGAUCCUAGGUUUACUAAAAAUAUGGAUCACCCCACUGAACGCUCGGUCCUCAAUGAGGGGCUACAUAUGACGUGACCGUGUGGUCAUCUUAUCCAUAUCUACCCUUCCCACCCCACUAGGGUAUUUAAAGCGCGAAUUGGUCUCAUUUACUUAUUGCAUGCUAUUACCCGACCCAAUCCUAUCAAGCCUUAGGUAUUUAGGACUACUAAUCCUAAUAGGAAGGUAUAUUAGGCUUAUUUGUAGUUUCAAAGGUAAAACUCUAAGGCGACAUACAAAACAUGUAUUGCAAGUUAGGGAAAGCAUAUAACAAGCAGAGGCUAAGAUAUACCUCCUUAAAAAAAGAAGCACGUAAUUAGCAUGACUUACACAUACUGUUUAGGUCUGAUGAUUAUAUAUGAAGGAC
rnacentral:lncRNA from 1 species